AUUGAACGCUGGCGGCAGGCCUAACACAUGCAAGUCGAACGGUAGCACAGAGAGCUUGCUCUCGGGUGACGAGUGGCGGACGGGUGAGUAAUGUCUGGGAAACUGCCCGAUGGAGGGGGAUAACUACUGGAAACGGUAGCUAAUACCGCAUAACGUCGCAAGACCAAAGUGGGGGACCUUCGGGCCUCACACCAUCGGAUGUGCCCAGAUGGGCUUCGCUAGUAGGUGGGGUAAUGGCUCACCUAGGCGACGAUCCCUAGCUGGUCUGAGAGGGUGACCAGCCACACUGGAACGGGGACACGGUCCAGACUCCGACGGGAGGCAGCAGUGGGGAAUAUUGCACAAUGGGCGCAAGCCUGAUGCAGCCAUGCCGCGUGUAUGAAGAAGGCCUUCGGGUUGUAAAGUACUUUCAGGGGGGAGGAAGGCGGUGAAGUUAAUAACUUCACCGAUUGACGUUACCCGCAGAGGAAGCACCGGCUAACUCCGUGCCAGCAGCCGCCGUAA
rnacentral:rRNA from 1 species